GAUGAACGCUGGCGGCGUGCCUAAUACAUGCAAGUCGAGCGAACGGACGAGAAGCUUGCUUUUCUGAUGUUAGCGGCGGACGGGUGAGUAACACGUGGAUAACCUACCUAUAAGACUGGGAUAACUUCGGGAAACCGGAGCUAAUACCGGAUAAUAUUUUGAACCGCAUGGUUCAAAAGUGAAAGACGGUCUUGCUGUCACUUAUAGAUGGAUCCGCGCUGCAUUAGCUAGUUGGUAAGGUAACGGCUUACCAAGGCAACGAUGCAUAGCCGACCUGAGAGGGUGAUCGGCCACACUGGAACUGAGACACGGUCCAGACUCCUACGGGAGGCAGCAGUAGGGAAUCUUCCGCAAUGGGCGAAAGCCUGACGGAGCAAAGCCGCGUGAGUGAUGAAGGUCUUCGGAUCGUAAAACUCUGUUAUUAGGGAAGAACAUAUGUGUAAGUAACUGUGAACAUCUUGACGGUACUUAAUCAGAAAGCCACGGCUAACUACGUG
rnacentral:rRNA from 1 species